UAGUAGCAAACUCUUCGACACAUUUCGGACCUGUGUUUAGACGUUGCCGCAUAUCAGAAUGGAUUCUAAAUYUAUCGUAUUUCUAGGCCUUUUGCUAUCUAUUUUGGCUUUUUCGCCUGGCUUUUCUAGUGAUGAUUUUCUAUUGAAGAGGAAAGAGAGUAAUAGUUUCGGGGCUAGUUUACGGGAUAGAGUUAACGAAAGACGUCGAAUGUGGGACGCAGCAAACGACGAUUACCAAGAAGAUCGGCUGAAAGAAUAUGGUCAGAAAGGAGAAGCUCCYCCGUUCCCUUUUGGACGUAGACGUUAAACCAAGGGACUUACAGCAAAUGAUGGCAGCUAUGGUGAAGGUGGAGAUGCUUUGAAAACGCCGAAAGAACAGCGGAAAAAAUAUUUUACUAGAUUAUAACUAUUUUUAUCGUAUUGAAAUGUUUGUCAAAAAACAAAGAGUAAAAUUGUAAUCAGUAGAAAAAAUGAAUAAAAUGCUUUGAUUAAAAGACUUCAUCAAA